rnacentral:rRNA from 1 species
GGGUAGAUCUCCCACCCUUGAAUAUUUAUACCUUAGUUGCUUUGGCAGGCCGUGGAAACACCAUGGGCUCCGGCUUAUGCGUGCCUGCCAGAGGAAACAAACUCUGUUUUUAGUGAUGUCUGAGUACUAUAUAAUAGUUAAAACUUUCAACAACGGAUCUCUUGGUUCUGGCAUCGACGAAGAACGCAGCGAAAUGCGACAAGUAAUGUGAAUUGCAGAAUUCAGUGAAUCAUCGAAUCUUUGAACGCACAUUGCGCCCUGUGGUAUUCCGCAGGGCAUGCCUGUUCGAGCGUCAUUUAACCACUCACGCCUAGCGUGGUAUUGGGGCACCCGGUCUCCGCGGCCCUCAAAAUUAGUGGCGGCGCCGGUGGGCUCUAAGCGUAGUAAUUCUCUCGCUAUAGAGUCCCGGCGGCUACCUGCCAGAACCCCCCCUCUUUUAAGGUUGACCUCGGAUCAGGUAGGGAUACCCGCUGAACUUAAGCAUAUCAAU